UAGGGAAUCUUCCGCAAUGGGCGAAAGCCUGACGGAGCAACGCCGCGUGAGUGAUGAAGGUCUUCGGAUCGUAAAACUCUGUUAUUAGGGAAGAACAAAUGUGUAAGUAACUAUGCACGUCUUGACGGUACCUAAUCAGAAAGCCACGGCUAACUACGUGCCAGCAGCCGCGGUAAUACGUAGGUGGCAAGCGUUAUCCGGAAUUAUUGGGCGUAAAGUGCGCGUAGGCGGUUUUUUAAGUCUGAUGUGAAAGCCAACGGCUCAACCGUGGAGGGUCAUUGGAAACUGGAAAACUUGAGUGCAGAAGAGGAAAGUGGAAUUCCAUGUGUAGCGGUGAAAUGCGCAGAGAUAUGGAGGAACACCAGCGGCGAAGGCGACUUUCUGGUCUGUAACUGACGCUGAUGUGCGAAAGCGUGGGGAUCAAACAGG
rnacentral:rRNA from 1 species